rnacentral:rRNA from 1 species
UACAGAGGUCUCAAGCGUUUGUUCGGAUUCAUUGGGCGUAAAGGGUGCGUAGGCGGCGCGGUAAGUCGGGUGUGAAAUUUCGAGGCUUAACUCCGAAACUGCAUUCGAUACUGCCGUGCUUGAGGACUGGAGAGGAGACUGGAAUUCUCGGUGUAGCGGUGAAAUGCGUAGAUAUCGAGAGGAACACCUGCGGCGAAGGCGGGUUGCUGGGCUGACACUGACGCUGAUGCGCGAAAGCCAGGGGAGCGAACGGG